AGGAUGAACGCUGGCGGCGUGCCUAAGACAUGCAAGUCGAGUGGGUUUAGACCCACGGCGAACGGGUGAGUAAUACCUAGGAACUUUCUUUAAGUGGAGCAUAACCCAUAGAAAUGUGGGAUAAUACUCCAUGUUGCAGUAAUGCUAAAGUCGCAAGACGCUUAAAGUGAGGCCUGGGCACCAUCAGCUAGUUGGUAAGGUAAUGGCUUACCAAGGCUAUGACGGUUAGGGGUCCCGAGAGGGAUAACCCCCACACUGGAACUGCGACACGGUCCAGACUCCUACGGGAGGCAGCAGUUUUGGAAUUUUGGACAAUGGGCGAAAGCCUGAUCCAGCGACGCCGCGUGGACGAUGAAGGCCUUCGGGUCGUAAAGUCCUUUUGCUCGGGAACAAUAAUUUGAGCGUACCGAGAGAAUAAGAGGUUGCUAACUCUGUGCCAGCAGCCGC
rnacentral:rRNA from 1 species